rnacentral:rRNA from 1 species
AACGAACGCUGGCGGCAGGCUUAACACAUGCAAGUCGAGCGCCCCGCAAGGGGAGCGGCAGCCGGGUGGGUAACGCGUGGGAACGUACCUUUUGGUUCGGAACAACUCCGGGAAACUGGAGCUAAUACCGGAUAAGCCCUAACGGGGAAAGAUUUAUCGACGAAAGAUCGGCCCGCGUCUGAUUAGCUAGUUGGUGAGGUAACGGCUCACCAAGGCGACGAUCAGUAGCUGGUCUGAGAGGAUGAUCAGCCACACUGGGACUGAGACACGGCCCAGACUCCUACGGGAGGCAGCAGUGGGGAAUAUUGGACAAUGGGCGCAAGCCUGAUCCACCCAUGCCGGGUGAGUGAUGAAGGCCUUAGGGUUGUAAAGCUCUUUUGUCCGGGAAGAUAAUGACUGUACCGGAAGAAUAAGCCCCGGCUAACUUCGUG